UAUAUUGUAAUAUAAGAUGUAUAUUAAUUUUUGAUAUUAAAAGAAAUAGUUUAAUUCUAUUCAAUAUAA
rnacentral:tRNA from 2 species